GCAGGGACAAAAAAUAAACAUGCAAUGUGUUUGAUUCAAUUGACGAAAAAAACAAUGGAUGAAUGGAGUUGUUGGGGGUUGACAAUUUCAUCUUAUCCAAUCCCUCUUAUCUACUCAUCUUGUUUAUGUGCUUGAUUAUCUAAUUAUCAUGCAAACUUUCUUGGCCUACCCUUAACCCGAUCCCUCGGCAAAAAGAUCCUAUUACUAAUUACUACCCCUAUCCCUAGGUUGGUACGACUUAAUCAAGGAAUUUC
rnacentral:lncRNA from 1 species